rnacentral:misc_RNA from 1 species
GUGAAUCAUCAAAUUUUUGAACGCAAAUUACACUCUCCUCGGAGAGUAUGCCUGUUUGAGGGUCAGCCUAUAAAAAAUCGACAUCGUUGCUGUUUCGCGGUGACGUUCGUCGGAAAUUGGGUCAUCUUAAAUCCUUUUGGUUUUAAGCGACUUAAAAUUUUCUUUUUGGUUCCAUGAACGUUUCUAAGAUUUAUUUCUUUACACGUUUAAGGGUAUCGAUUUUUAUUAGACGUGACCAUCAUUUCGGAUCGCGUCCAUAAUCUUUAAUUAAUUGACCCUAAACAGGUAAG